rnacentral:rRNA from 1 species
AUACGGAGGGGGUUAGCGUUGUUCGGAAUUACUGGGCGUAAAGCGUACGUAGGCGGAUCAGAAAGUAUAGGGUGAAAUCCCAGGGCUCAACCCUGGGACUGCCUUAUAAACUCCUGGUCUUGAGUUCGAGAGAGGUGAGUGGAAUUCCAAGUGUAGAGGUGAAAUUCGUAGAUAUUUGGAGGAACACCAGUGGCGAAGGCGGCUCACUGGCUCGAUACUGACGCUGAGGUACGAAAGUGUGGGGAGCAAACAGGAUUAGAAACCCUAGUAGUCC